rnacentral:rRNA from 1 species
AAAAAAGGUAAGCUACUAAGAGCGAAUGGUGGAUGCCUUGACUGGUAAAGGCGAUGAAGGACGUACUAGACUGCGAUAAGCUACGGGGAGCUGUCAAGAAGCUUUGAUCCGUAGAUUUCCGAAUGGGGCAACCCAAUGUAUAGAGAUAUACAUUACCUAUAUAGGAGCGAACGAGGGGAAUUGAAACAUCUUAGUACCCUCAGGAAAAGAAAUCAAUAGAGAUUGCGUCAGUAGCGGCGAGCGAAAGCGCAAGAGGGCAAACCCAGUGCUUGCACUGGGGGUUGUAGGACUGCAAUGUGCAAGAGGUGAGUUUAGCAGAACAUUCUGGAAAGUAUAGCCAUAGAGGGUGAUAGUCCCGUAUGCGAAAAACAAACCUUAGCUAGCAGUAUCCUGAGUAGGGCGGGACACGAGAAAUCCUGUCUGAAGCUGGGUCGACCACGAUCCAACCCUAAAUACUAAUACCAGAUCGAUAGUGCACAAGUACCGUGAGGGAAAGGUGAAAAGAACUGAGGUGAUCAGAGUGAAAUAGAACCUGAAACCAUUUGCUUACAAUCAUUCAGAGCCCUAUGUAGCAAUACAGGGUGAUGGACUGCCUUUUGCAUAAUGAGCCUGCGAGUUGUGGUGUCUGGCAAGGUUAAGCAAACGCGAAGCCGUAGCGAAAGCGAGUCUGAAUAGGGCGCUUAGUCAGAUGCUGCAGACCCGAAACGAAGUGAUCUAUCCAUGAGCAAGUUGAAGCUAGUGUAAGAACUAGUGGAGGACUGAACCCAUAGGCGUUGAAAAGCCCCGGGAUGACUUGUGGAUAGGGGUGAAAGGCCAAUCAAACUUCGUGAUAGCUGGUUCUCUCCGAAAUAUAUUUAGGUAUAGCGUUGUGUCGUAAUAUAAGGGGGUAGAGCACUGAAUGGGCUAGGGCAUACACCAAUGUACCAAACCCUAUCAAACUCCGAAUACCUUAUAUGUAAUCACAGCAGUCAGGCGGCGAGUGAUAAAAUCCGUCGUCAAGAGGGAAACAACCCAGACUACCAGCUAAGGUCCCUAAAUCUUACUUAAGUGGAAAACGAUGUGAAGUUACUUAAACAACCAGGAGGUUGGCUUAGAAGCAGCCAUCCUUUAAAGAAAGCGUAAUAGCUCACUGGUCUAGUGAUUUUGCGCGGAAAAUAUAACGGGGCUAAAGUAAGUACCGAAGCUGUAGACUUGCACACAACUUAGAUUAUUUAAGUUUAGAAUAUGAGAAACUAAGUUAUAUGUUUAGUUAUAUUUUUACUGAUUUUUAUAGAGUAAAGAUAGAAAUAAAACUUAGUAAAAUCAGUAAAAAUAUUCUUAGACUAAAGUUAAGUAGUUUAAGUUGUGUGCAAGUGGUAGGAGAGCGUUCUAUUUGCGUCGAAGGUAUACCGGUAAGGAGUGCUGGAGCGAAUAGAAGUGAGCAUGCAGGCAUGAGUAGCGAUAAUUAAUGUGAGAAUCAUUAACGCCGUAAACCCAAGGUUUCCUACGCGAUGCUCGUCAUCGUAGGGUUAGUCGGGUCCUAAGUCGAGUCCGAAAGGGGUAGACGAUGGCAAAUUGGUUAAUAUUCCAAUACCAACAUUAGUGUGCGAUGGAAGGACGCUUAGGGCUAAGGGGGCUAGCGGAUGGAAGUGCUAGUCUAAGGUCGUAGGAGGUUAUACAGGCAAAUCCGUAUAACAAUACUCCGAGAACUGAAAGGCUUUUUGAAGUCUUCGGAUGGAUAGAAGAACCCCUGAUGCCGUCGAGCCAAGAAAAGUUUCUAAGUUUAGCUAAUGUUGCCCGUACCGUAAACCGACACAGGUGGGUGGGAUGAGUAUUCUAAGGCGCGUGGAAGAACUCUCUUUAAGGAACUCUGCAAAAUAGCACCGUAUCUUCGGUAUAAGGUGUGGUUCGCUUCGUAUUAGGAUUUACUCCGAAAGCGAAGAAACUUACAACAAAGAGUCCCUCCCGACUGUUUACCAAAAACACAGCACUCUGCUAACUCGUAAGAGGAUGUAUAGGGUGUGACGCCUGCCCGGUGCUCGAAGGUUAAUUGAUGGGGUUAGCAUUAGCGAAGCUCUUGAUCGAAGCCCGAGUAAACGGCGGCCGUAACUAUAACGGUCCUAAGGUAGCGAAAUUCCUUGUCGGUUAAAUACCGACCUGCAUGAAUGGCGUAACGAGAUGGGAGCUGUCUCAAAGAGGGAUCCAGUGAAAUUGUAGUGGAGGUGAAAAUUCCUCCUACCCGCGGCAAGACGGAAAGACCCCGUGGACCUUUACUACAGCUUGACACUGCUAUUUGGAUAAGAAUGUGCAGGAUAGGUG